rnacentral:lncRNA from 11 species
GGGCCAAAGAAGAUCUUAAGAUCAUGAUGAGGAAGGGGGCCUAGUAGGGUGUUUGGGGUUUCAAGUCCCAGAAGCCCCAGUCAAUGUGGUCAAGUGUCAGGAAUUCUGGGAGCUGAAGCACAAAACAGCAGGUGGACCAAAGCUGAAGAACCACUGCUAUAGCAGACGCCUAUCAGAACAGAGAUGGCAGUCAAGAAAUCAGAAGAAUACUCUGACUUGGAGGGGCA